rfam:Clunio marinus genome assembly, contig: CLTMA_scaffold_017422
GAAGGUAUUAUGGUAUGCGUUGAAGUAUCUAGCGUGAGCUGAUAUGGAGCUUCCAUAAGCUCAGAUCUUGGUGGUAGUAGCAAAUAUUCGAAUGAGAUCUUGGAUGGCUGAAGUGGAGAAGGUUUUCGUGUCAA